rnacentral:lncRNA from 1 species
GAGAGCACAUUUUUAUUUUUAAAACGAUUCGCUUAUAAAUUGUUCAUACUGCUCAAACAUUGUUGUUUGGAUUCUAUAGUUUGUCAGCUUCAAACAAGUCGACUGAAUCAAAUUUUUACAAAACGCUUUUCAAAAACGAAACGACUGUUGAAAAACACGGGUUGUUCAAUGUUCAGUCAUGCAACCAGCGAUGCUUUGGGUCUAUCAAGGUGUAUAAAAGAAUAAACAUUAGCGGAUUGGUUAAGUCUUCAACCUUUUGGUAAUUAUAUGUAACCCAUUAACAUUUAUUCGUAAUACCUUUACGAAAUCUCGGUAUAGGAUAUCGUUUCAAUGCUUGUUCUUCUUGCGUAAUACAUGAGCAGAUAAGUAUAGUUUUUAAAGCACUCUACAAGAACUUAACAAAACUCCUAAGUUAAAUAUCAAAUAACAACGACUAAUCCUUUUGGUUUAUAUAAGAGAACACCUUUUUUCGGGUCGUUAAAUACAUGUCCAUAAAUUUUGAGUUCAUCAUGAUUGAAACGAAGACGAAGCUCAAUCUAGAGAAACGAGGAUACUUCAUCUGUACUCAUUAUAAGAAAUGCAGUUCAUUGGUCGUUUGCAGGCUGGGCUCUAGGUUGAGAGCCAUUGGAAUUCCUGUAUUGGUUAUAUUGAUUUCUUGCAUAUCCACGUCCACGACCUCUACCACCACGUCCACGACCACGUCCACGACGGCCGCGAUUUCCAGAGCCAGCAACGCCAAAUGUCUCCAUGUUCAAAGAACGUUCGCGAUCUCGUAGAGCUCUUCUAUCUGCAGCUUCCAUACCCUUCUCUUUACUUUCACAACUAAUAUUAUCAAAAAAAGAUUGCUUAGGCUUGUAAAAUUCUUCGGCUUCUUCAUCAUUUUUUCCUUUUAACAAAUCAUCUUUCAUCGAUUGAAACUUUUGAUUUGCAGUUUGAAAGUCAAAUUCGGUACGAGGCUUUGCAGCACUAGCAUCAGGUUGAGUUGUAGGAACUUCUUUAGAAGGUCCAGAUGUUUCAACGGUUUGGGAUUGAGAGACAUCCACAGUAGUAUUCACAACACGGUCAUUUGUGACAGUGGAAUUCCGUAUACUAGUACUUUCUUUUUCAAUAGAUGCUUCAAUGGAGGGCUGUGCACCUGGUAUCACUCCAUUCGUGGGCGGCAUGGAUUGAAGAGACGGAGAUGCAGAUACCGCGGUAGGACCAGGAGCAGGCAUGCCCGGAGCAAAGUUGGGAGGCUUCUGGUUUGAAGGCAUUCCGUAUCCAGGACGUACGUUGUACGGGGCCUGACCGGCAAACCCUUGAGAAACAUUUUGAGCAAACUCAGGACGUUGACCCAUUUGCUGUUGAUCAGGUGCCCCAUAAUACGGGACCGCAGGUGUGGAUGCGUCUAAGGGAGUACCCAAAGGCAAACCUCCAGGAGGUACAAAUUGAGCGGGAGCAUUCGGGUACAUAUAGUAAGGUGCACCUGCUGGAGGAGCCUGUUGGUAUGGAGCUCCAUAAGGGUUAGGUUGAACAGGCUGAGGAGGUUGGGCAGUCUGCGCUUGGUUCCAAUUAUACUGCCCGCUAUUAGACUAAUUAUAGUUAAAAUCAUGAUCUUGUCAGAUAUAUAAAGAGUGCCAAAGAUAAUUAAUACUAGAUAUACUAAUGAGAAUCUCCACCACUCUUUAGACGUAACAUACCCCAAUAAUUGCAGGAUCAUUAGGAGGUUGAACCGGGGGAGCAGAAGGAGUAGUAGCAGGUUCCUCAAUCCGUAAAUCUUUAACAUCGCUUCCACGAAAAACAAUGUAAUCAAAUACAUUAUCUGAUGGGGGGAUUUCUUGAGAGGGAUCUUGUUUUCUUCCUUCAGUACCACACCAACGGACUAAACUGUUAGUAAUCAAUGCUGGGUACUCAACCUACCAUGCUUCAAAGCCAGUGUUGAGUCCUGGGAAUUGAUGUCCUGCAAAAUGCCCACAUAACUAAAUAUUAGUAAAGGAAAGAUAAUGCUCUCACGUACCGAAUGUCAGAUUUGCUAAUUAGACUAAUACGAGAACCAAUAAAUUCAGUCAUUGGUUAUAAACUCGACGAAGUAAAGCUUAGUGGUGAAAGGAGCGUGGUUAGGUGUCCUUUCGAAAUUAACGAACUUGGCGAUAGCGCUAGUAUGGGGUUCAUUAUACCGAGUAAAUAAGACCAAAAUGCGACAUUGUCAUUUAUAAGCUGUUUUUUCAUCAGUUUUUAUAUUUAUUUAAAAUUAACAUGCUUAAGAUCAAAAAGGCUAUCCACAGCUGCUCUGACCAUGUACUACUUAUUUUACUUAAAUACGUAUAUGUGCAGCAGUCAAAUUGUAACUAAUUUUAUACUUAUUACAAGUAAUCUAUUUUUAAAAAGAAUGAAAAUGCCAAGCAAAAGACACUGUACUUUAACGCUCUUCAAAAUUGAGUUAACCUGAAACCGCACCGUCAAUUACAUUAUCCAACUAACAUAUUCAUUUUCUGA